rnacentral:rRNA from 1 species
UGAGUAACGCGUGGGCAAUCUGCCUCUUACAGGGGGAUAACACAGGGAAACCUGUGCUAAUACCGCAUAAAACUGCACCGUGGCAUCACGGAGUAGCCAAAGGAGCAAUCCGGUAAGAGAGGAGCCCGCGUCUGAUUAGCUAGUUGGUGAGGUUAAACGGCCCACCAAGGCGACGAUCAGUAGCCGGACUGAGAGGUUGACCGGCCACAUUGGGACUGAGAUACGGCCCAGACUCCUACGGGAGGCAGCAGUGGGGAAUAUUGGGCAAUGGGCGCAAGCCUGACCCAGCAACGCCGCGUGAAGGAAGAAGGCUUUCGGGUUGUAAACUUCUUUUGUCAAGGGAAGAGUAGAAGACUGUACUCGGCGAAUAAGCCACGGCUAACUACGUG